rnacentral:rRNA from 1 species
GACGAACGCGGCGGCGUGCCUAAUACAUGCAAGUAGAACGCUGAAGGGAGGAGCUUGCUCUUCUGGAUGAGUUGCGAACGGGUGAGUAACGCGUAGGUAACCUGCCUUGUAGCGGGGGAUAACUAUUGGAAACGAUAGCUAAUACCGCAUAACAAUGGAUGACCCAUGUCAUUUAUUUGAAAGGGGCAAAUGCUCCACUACAAGAUGGACCUGCGUUGUAUUAGCUAGUAGGUGAGGUAACGGCUCACCUAGGCGACGAUACAUAGCCGACCUGAGAGGGUGAUCGGCCACACUGGGACUGAGACACGGCCCAGACUCCUACGGGAGGCAGCAGUAGGGAAUCUUCGGCAAUGGGGGCAACCCUGACCGAGCAACGCCGCGUGAGUGAAGAAGGUUUUCGGAUCGUAAAGCUCUGUUGUAAGUCAAGAACGAGUGUGAGAGUGGAAAGUUCACACUGGACGGAGCUACCAGAAAG